AGCUAGUAUGGUUUGUAACAAGAUGACACACUGAAAUCAGCUUGUUCAGACCAACAAACAAGCUUAGAUGUUUCCUUUGCAGUUCAGAUGUCACCCACUGAACCGAAUCAACCAAGGAGAUGUGCAAGAAGAAGAAGAAGAAGAAGAGGGAAAAAAACUCCCCUUGCCAAGAACACAAGAACAGAGUAUAAGAGUCGAGUUAAUCAGCAGCAGCGGCCGGGGCUCGAUCCACCCGCGCAUAUAUGGUGCCCGUGGCGACGGCGGCGGCUACGGCGUCGUCGUCGCAGACGCCGCGCGUGCCGUAGCAGUGCAGGAACACCCAGAGCAGGGCGGCGUUGAGGAGGGUGUUGACCACCCACGCCCCGAUGCCGCUGCACCCGUCGGCCAUCGCCCCGCCGAAGUGCAUCCACACGACCCAACUUUGGUGUUGGACUGCGUAUCAUGAUCUGAACAAUACGCAGGUAGUCAUGGUGGGAGCAGAAAAGAUCGAUGAUGGUGCAGAAGAAGUUAGUAUGUAUUCUUUCUGUUCCAAAAUAGAUGACCCAAUUUUGUAUUAACUUUAGUAUAAAGUUGGGUCAUCUAUUUUGAAACGAUGGGAGUACGUAGUAAUCCAUCCAUCUGCUGGCCAGCGGAGGACUAAGAGAUCCAUGUCGCUGGGUGCAAGGGAAAAGAGGUAGGCAUUCAGAGCCGCGCCGUAGGUACGUGCGUUCAUGCUUGCAUGUUUUCCAGACGAUGACAGAGUAAACCAGGGUAAUUAAAGUCGAUCAGGUGGCCGGAUCAAGGGGAUCGAGGAUGUGUAAAUACAUGUUUUGGUGUGAUGAUGAUGAUGAUGGUGUAGCGAUGAAAUUGCUAUAAGAAAACAAAGGAGAAAUUGUAGCGCGGUGAUCCGGUAUAUAUCAUGUAAUUGUUUGUGAUUAGUGUUGGUCGUAUUGUAUAUGGGGGAAAUGUUUUGCUAAAGCACAUCUAGAUUUAUUCUAAGUAUUGCA